GAGGUGCUGGCAGAUUUGCUUUCUGAAGGCAGCCCAUCUUCUGGUUCAUAGCACCUUCUUGCUGUGUUCUCACAUAGUGAGGGGGGUAAAAGAGAUCUCUUGGGCCUCUUUUAUAGGGUCACUAAUUUCAUUCAUGAGGGAUUCAGCCUCAUGACCUAAUGACCUCUGCAAAGCCCCAUCUCCUAAUACCAUCACCUUGGGGGUUGGGAUUCAACAUAUGAAUCUUGGGGGACACACCCUGUAUUCAAACUGUAGCACCAUAUAACUAGUUUUCUAGUUCAUAGGUCCAUAAAUGGGAGGAGAUCUUGCCCCAUGAGCCAUCAUAAUUAGGAUCUCUCUCUCUCUCUUUUUUAAGGAUAUCAUUUCUUUUGACUCGCAUGAAAUUUGGGACUUUGGAGCUCAUGGUAUUUAUGAGACUAUCGCACUACCUACUGCACUAACGAGACACCUGGAGCUGAUGGUAUUUAGACUUUGGACAUGUAAGGGGUAGAUACUUUUGGAGAUAUUGAGAUUGAUAGAGCAACAUCUCCCCUGACUGAAUAUCCCUACUGAAUGACACUAAGUUUUGGAAGUCGAGAAGGAAGAUAAAUCAUGUACAUUUCUGGACGAGGUUGACUAGUAUAGGUAAUUGAUGUAUGUUUCCUCACUUCUUCUCCAGGUGUUGGUGUUUGGAGAUGCCAGAAGAGAGAGAGAACAGGCAUGCCAGUGAGUGCAAGCAAGUGUGAGCAGAGGGGAGAGGUGGAGGCAGAGGGAGAAUGAGAAUCCCAAGCAGGUUCCAGGCUCAGCAUGGAGCGCUUAGUGGAGCUCCAUCUAGCCCUGAGAUCAUGACCUGAGCCGAAAUCAAGGGUCCAAAGUUUC